AGAUUUCAGUGAUGAUUUCAUUUCUUACCUACAUUGUCUGACAGAUGUGAUUAGAAUUUCUGAAAUCUGAAGAAUCU